GGGGAGGCGGUACCUGGUUGUGGAGGGUGACGCCAUGGGCGGGGCGGAACGUCUGGGAUCCGCUGGGAGCCUCGGAUCCCCGACAGUUUUGCAGAACACUGAUAUCUAUGGACUCUAAAAUGGACCUCAUUUAAAGAAACCCACGGACCAUUAAUGGACAAAAACAUGAGUCAAUAUGUAUUGUGGCAUUCAAAUCCUAGCACUUUGGGAGAGCAUCAAGUACCACGUUUUUGAAGACCAUGGCCUAUCAUCAUUAUGCAUUCAAGAUUUGAGUUUGAAUAACCUCAUCAAGACUUAGAUCUUCUUCAAAAGCUUCAAGUCUCAUCUGCAUUAAAGCUCUCCAUUGAACCCUCUCACAAAAGUACAAGCUUAAAGGGACUAAAAUCCAUUCAUACAUUCCAUUUUAUAUCCCUUCCUCUGACUUCUCUUCAAUUUCCUUGGCCUCUAGGGUGCUUCAUAUUGCUUGUGUUCCUUUAGACUAGAGCCAAGGAGACAGUGUUUUCCAAAAAAUGUGUUCUGUGGCCAUAAGUUUUCAUUGAUAGAGAAGCAUAAAUUUAACAUGAUGAAUUUAGAAUUAGGACUUUUAUGGUGUCCUAUAAAAAGUUGAGUUAACAGGCCGGGCAUGGUGGCUCCUGCCUGUAAUCCUAGCACUUUGGGAGGCUGAGGCAGCCGGAUCUCCUGAGGUCAGGUGUUUGAGACCAGCCUGGCCAACAUGGCGAAACCCCAUCUCUACUAAAAAUACAAAAAUUAGCCGGGCGUAGUGGCGGGUGCUUGUAAUCCCAGCUACUUGGGAGACUGAGGCAGGAGAAUCACUUGAACCCAGGAGGCGGGGUCUGCAGUGAGCUGAGAUCACGCCACUGCACUCCAGCCUGGGUGACAGAGCAAGACUCUGUCUAAAAACAACAACAAAAAAGUUGAAUUAACAAUAAGGAAAUUAGGACGAAGUGGCAAAAAUAUUUUGGGUUACAUUAUACUCUCAGAAGCUAUGUGGUUUAGAGAAAAGGGUCCCCAACCACAAAAGUUAGUGGUUCUUAUUCUGUCUACCUCGUACUAGGUAUAUGGUAACUGAGAAAGUCACUUAACCUCUCUGAACCUUAACUUCAUCAUCUAUAAAGUGAAUCUAACAUUUCCCCCCCGGCCUACCUCACAGGGUUGUUGUGAGGAUCAAAUGAAAUAAUGUACAUGAAAAGACAUAUAUAAAAUGUAUAAUACAGACAAAGGGUCCUGUUACAUAGUUGGAAGUCAUUCCCUCAGAUCUUGGGUCUAGGAAGGUAGGUGAUUUAAACUCACUGAAAGGUACCAUGUUCAGGUUGGAUACAUGGUAACAAGCUAUAUUAAAUUUUUUUCUCUGAGUUGAGUCCCUAAAAUACUAUCAUGGGCUGAUUCUAAGAAGGAGCACGAAUAUAUAUUCCCCUAAAAUUAUAGCUUAGCAUUGUUAAUGCUCUAGAGCAGUUAUCAGAGUUAUAUGUUGUAACAUAUUAGUGAUUUGUGAAACUUUUUUACUAAAAUGUGACCCUCAUUUUUCUUUAAAUGAAAGAACAUAGAAUAUUUCACAAUGCAUUCCAUGUGGUAAGAGUAAAAAAUUGUUUUAGUUAUCUGUACAAA